rnacentral:rRNA from 1 species
UACGUAGGUGGCGAGCGUUGUCCGGAUUUACUGGGCGUAAAGAGCGCGCAGGCGGUCGUGCAAGUCGGGUGUGAAAGCCCCCGGCUCAACUGGGGAGGGUCACGCGAUACUGCUCGACUUGAAGGCAGGAGAGGGAAGUGGAAUUCCCGGUGUAGUGGUGAAAUGCGUAGAUAUCGGGAGGAACACCAGUGGCGAAGGCGACUUCCUGGCCUGUUCUUGACGCUGAGGCGCGAAAGCUAGGGUAGCAAACGGG